GUUAACCUGGAACUUGAACAGAAGAAAAUCAUAUUUCUUGUUCUCAGGAUGGGAAUUUGGAGUUAUGAACUUAGACUUGCAGCGAUGCUUCCUUUCUAGAGUACUGCUGUAUGGUAUCUACGAAGAUAGUGGUCACCCACUUGAGAUGUAAUACUAGUUCGGAGCUGACCUGCUGGAAUGAAGCUCUGCGGGGAAGGACCUGGGUGUCCUGGUGGACAACAGUUCACCAUGAGUCACCAGUGUGCCCUUGUGGCCAAGAAGACCAAUGGUAUCCUGGGAUGCAUUAAAAAGAACAUGGCCAGCAGGUCAAGGGAGGUGAUCCUCCCACUCUACUCUACUCUAAAGAGGCCACAUCUGGAGUAUUGUGUCCAGUACUGGGCUUUCCAAUUCAAGAAAGACAGGGAACUACUGGAGAGAGUUCAGCAGAGGCUAACAAAGAUGAUGACGGGCCCAUAUCAUCUCCAAUGUGAGGAAAGGCUGAGUAACCUGGGACUGUGCAGCCAGAAGGAGACUGAAAUGGGAUCUUGUCAGUGUUUGCAAACAUCUAAUGGACAGGAACCAGGUGGAUGGGACCAGGCUCUUUUCAAAGAUGUCCAGUGACAGAACAACGGGUAACGAGCACGAACUGGAACACAGGAUGUUGCAUAUGAUCAUAAUAAAUACUUCUUUACUUUGAGGAUGGCAGAGCAAUGGAACAGGAUGCCAUGAGAGGGUAUGGAGUCUUCUCCGGAGAUAUUCAAAACCUUCAUAAAUGCUUUCCUGUGUACCUAGUGUAGGGAAUUUGCUAUAGCAGUGGGCUGGACUGGGUGAUUUCCAGGUGUUCCAUCUAAUCUCUACAAUUCUGUGAUUCUGUGAUUUUUACAUCGUAAAAGGUACAGAUCUUGAGAGAAAUGUGGAAGACAAGUGGAUAGACAAGUUGACAGAAAUAUGAAGGAUUAAAUGCUGUUAGAAAGAAGGUAAUAUAAACAUUUAUAGG
rnacentral:lncRNA from 1 species